rnacentral:tRNA from 1 species
AGUAAAGUCAGCUAAUAAAGCUAUCGGGCCCAUACCCCGAAAAUGUCUACAAGACCCUUACUA